rnacentral:lncRNA from 1 species
UUUUUUUCUGGAACAUUUUCUAUUUAUCUUAAAACUUUUAUUAAAUUUUGCAUGCUUUCAUUUUUAAACUAAAGACAUGUAAUCAACUAUGGAAUUAUUUUCUUCUACAUUAGUUCUUUUGUUAUCUUAAUAAAAAUACACAGCAAUUAGAAAUGAAACUUGAAAAUAAAGUACUAUUUACAUAUAUUUAUAAAAAUGGAUUAUCUGAAUAUGAUUAUAAUAAUACUUUGUAUUCUGUUACAGAAUUAAUUAAAAGGAUUUAUGGUAUAUCUUAUGACUCUACAGAAGCCUUGGGAUAUAGGAGGAUUAGAAGAAAGAAUCAUAUGUGGCUCAUGUGUCUAUGUUCUGACCUGUAUUAG